rnacentral:tRNA from 1 species
GCUCACAUGAUGGAAUUGGUAGACAUGGUAGACUCAAAAUCUGCUGGCCUUGUGGCUGUGAGGGUUCGACUCCCUCUGUGAGUA